rnacentral:rRNA from 1 species
UACGUAGGGGGCAAGCGUUGUCCGGAAUCAUUGGGCGUAAAGGGUGCGUAGGUGGCGCGCUAAGUCAGGUGUGAAAUCUCGGGGCUUAACUCCGAAACUGCAUUUGAUACUGGCGUGCUUGAGGACUGGAGAGGAGACUGGAAUUCAUGGUGUAGCAGUGAAAUGCGUAGAGAUCAUGAGGAAGACCAGUGGCGAAGGCGGGUCUCUGGACAGUUCCUGACACUGAGGCACGAAGGCCAGGGGAGCAAACGGG